rnacentral:rRNA from 1 species
AGGGUUCGAUUCUGGCUCAGGAUGAACGCUGGCGGCGUGCUUAACACAUGCAAGUCGAACGGGAUCCCAGGAGCUUGCUCCUGGGUGAGAGUGGCGAACGGGUGAGUAAUGCGUGACCGACCUGCCCCAUACACCGGAAUAGCUCCUGGAAACGGGUGGUAAUGCCGGAUGCUCCAGUUGGAUGCAUGUCCUUCUGGGAAAGAUUCAUCGGUAUGGGAUGGGGUCGCGUCCUAUCAGCUUGAUGGCGGGGUAACGGCCCACCAUGGCUUCGACGGGUAGCCGGCCUGAGAGGGCGACCGGCCACAUUGGGACUGAGAUACGGCCCAGACUCCUACGGGAGGCAGCAGUGGGGAAUAUUGCACAAUGGGCGCAAGCCUGAUGCAGCGACGCCGCGUGCGGGAUGACGGCCUUCGGGUUGUAAACCGCUUUUGACUGGGAGCAAGCCCUUCGGGGUGAGUGUACCUUUCGAAUAAGCACCGGCUAACUACGUGCCAGCAGCCGCGGUAAUACGUAGGGUGCAAGCGUUAUCCGGAAUUAUUGGGCGUAAAGGGCUCGUAGGCGGUUCGUCGCGUCCGGUGUGAAAGUCCAUCGCUUAACGGUGGAUCUGCGCCGGGUACGGGCGGGCUGGAGUGCGGUAGGGGAGACUGGAAUUCCCGGUGUAACGGUGGAAUGUGUAGAUAUCGGGAAGAACACCAAUGGCGAAGGCAGGUCUCUGGGCCGUUACUGACGCUGAGGAGCGAAAGCGUGGGGAGCGAACAGGAUUAGAUACCCUGGUAGUCCACGCCGUAAACG